AUUGAACGCUGGCGGCAUGCUUUACACAUGCCAGUCGAACGGCAGCGCGGGCUUCGGCCUGGCGGCGAGUGGCGAACGGGUGGGUAAUACAUCGGAACGUGCCCAGUAGUGGGGGAUAGCUCGGCGAAAGCCGGAUUAAUACCGCAUACGACCUGAGGGUGAAAGCGGGGGAUCUUCGGACCUCGCGCUAUUGGAGCGGCCGAUGGCAGAUUAGCUAGUUGGUGGGGUAAAGGCCUACCAAGGCGACGAUCUGUAGCUGGUCUGAGAGGACGACCAGCCACACUGGGACUGAGACACGGCCCAGACUCCUACGGGAGGCAGCAGUGGGGAAUUUUGGACAAUGGGCGAAAGCCUGAUCCAGCAAUGCCGCGUGUGUGAUGAAGGCCUUCGGGUUGUAAAGCACUUUUGGCGGGAACGAAAAGGACUGUGCCAAUACCACGGUUCGAUGACGGUACCCGCAGAAUAAGCACCGGCUAACUACGUG
rnacentral:rRNA from 1 species